rnacentral:lncRNA from 10 species
CCCUUCACCUCUGUAAGCCUCAGCAUUACAUCCACGGAGCCUGCCUGUCUAAAUGAUUCAGAUCCGCUCUGCAACUCUAUGCAGGAGAAACACAUUUUCCUUUUCUGGUGGAUCAGACAACAGCAGGACUUCUGGAUUAUGUCUUCUGCAUAGGUUGCAGCAGGGAAACAUAGCAUUACGCGUGUAGACAGGGCAGGUUUAAUGCUAGGCAACGUUCUUAAGGGAGAUCAGAAAAGCAACUAGCAUGCCAGGUCUACUGUCCCGGCCCCCAAGGCUCAGCACAGAUAUUUGGAAAACCAGGAGUUGAGCAUUUGACUGGAAAAUAAAAACAACAUAGACUCGUGCAUUUGAUCAGUGAACUUGGAGCGCACACCAUGGAUUAGGCACAGCUGGGCACCGAGGAGACAUCACCUGGCUUAUAAGUCAUCUGUGCCCUCUGGGGACUGACAGUCCAGCUGGGAAUGAGGAUCAGGAGGUCAGAAAUUAAGUAAAGAGCAAAGAAGAAUGCAACAUGAGUAAACGCAAAAAUAAAAAAUAAAAACAAACAAAACAAGUUGGCCCUGACCAUCAGGCAGUAUGGUAUGGAGAAGACCACGGGCUUGUGUCUAUCAGUCAGACCUGCUUUGAGUCUUGGCUCCACCAUAAACCAGAUGAGUUAAGUUUCAUACCCUCUCUAAACGGUCGCCUCAGCUAUACAACAGGCUCAAUGAUAUUCACCCCACAAGAUUGCUAUAAGAAGGAAAUGGUAUGACCUUGGGGCAAGAAGAGGUACCAUUGUCCCCACUGUCCACAGAUGGUGACAUUUGUUCAGGACAACCUGGCCAUUAAGGAGGAGAACUCUAUGAGAACAAGGUCUGCGUCCCUAGAUGGCAUUCAUACAGGUACUCACGAUGCUAAGAGGUAU